rnacentral:rRNA from 1 species
UACGAAGGAUGCAAGCGUUAUCCGGAUUCAUUGGGUUUAAAGGGAGCGUAGGUGGCUUUGUAAGUCAGUGGUGAAAUCUUCUCGCUUAACGAGAAAACUGCCAUUGAUACUGCAGAGCUUGAGUACGGUUGCCGUUGGCGGAAUAUGACAUGUAGUGGUGAAAUACAUAGAGAUGUCAUAGAACACCGAUUGCGAAGGCAGCUAACGAAACUGUAACUGACACUGAGGCUCGAAAGUGCGGGGAUCAAACAGG